CCUACGGGAUGCAGCAGGCGCGAAACCUCUGCAAUGCGGGAAACCGUGACAGGGGGAUCCCAAGUGCUCAUGCAUUGCAUGGGCUGUUCUCUGGUCUAAGUAACCAGAGGAGUAAGAGCUGGGCAAGACCGGUGCCAGCCGCCGCGGUAAUACCGGCAGCUCGAGUGGUAGCCGCGAUUAUUGGGCCUAAAGCGUUCGUAGCCGGAUAAGUAAGUCUUUGGUUAAAUCCUACGACUCAACCGUGGGAAAUCUAGAGAUACUGCUUGUCUUGAGACCGGGAGAGGUUGGAGGUACUCCUGGGGUAGGGGUGAAAUCCUAUAAUCCUAGGGGGACCACCUGUGGCGAAGGCGUCCAACUGGAACGGGUCUGACGGUGAGGGACGAAACCUAGGGGAGCGAGCCGGAUUAGAUACCCUCGUAGUCC
rnacentral:rRNA from 1 species